AUUUUCAUUUAUAUUGUAUUCCUAUUUCUUUCUACACAUACUGUAUAUAUAAUAGCACAAUAUACAUAUGUACGUAUAUAUAUAUAUACACAUACAUAUACACACAUACAGGUUUAAUCUUGUAUAAUGGUGCGCACCAAGGGAGACAGACUGAAGUACAGAGCUUAACCUAAGAAUCUUCUAAUCAGCCAUUGUAACAUUUCAGUUAUAUGCCCUCUGAGUAUAAGGGGUGUCACCCUGUAUUCAUGAGGCCCAGGGCCAUCAGACACUCUAAUUUGACCAAGGAGAGUGAGACCACUUAUCAUACCUCAUUCAGGUCAAACCAUCAUAAGUAUAUUCAACCAGAAAUGCUUACAUUCUAGCCUAAGUCCAAAUAAAAGCAACAAUUACAACUAGGUAUAAGAUGCAUUGAAUUAUUGACUAUACUCAUACAGUUCACCUAUCGCCAGCUUAGUUAUUCCCUGCCGCACACCUGAAGCUAGUUUGCCUGAUGAAUUAAUGAAUAGGCGACGAUUAGGCUCUUUGUUUACAACUAGGCUAGGGUGUUGCGUUUAAACCGUUCCCCGUAGGAAACUCAUUCCCUGGUGUGUCGUUCCUCCCCCACUGAAUCUAGUCACCCCGUGACAUACUUUUGGUCAAAUUGACACAUUAACACAUUUUCAAAUCCUGUCAGAGCAGUCUGGUCUGUGGUCUAGGGCUGUGCAACAUUUAAACUUUAUGAGGAACUGUGCUGUCAAAAAUAUCCUUUUGGCUCCUCCUGCUCACAUACAAAAAAGGGAAUUGCAGCCUUGCUACAUGCUGAAGAAUGUUUGAAGUUCCUCUAUUAGCAAGCCACCCAACUUCUGACACCAUUUGUAGCGAAGGGAGAGAGCAGUCACCCCACCUGGUCUUGAACCUGGGUCUACAGGGUACCAAACCUGCACCCUGACCACGACGCCAAAGAGCCAGCAAGAUGUUUCAGAGGGCUAGAGGGUUAGGGAGAAACCUUGUCUCAUGAGCACUGAGUCGUCUGGAUACCUCAAAUUGGAAAUAUGGUUUGGUCUCACAGCAGUGUGUGGAUGACCCAUAUGGCUUCAAUGCAGUAGUGGUGAUUGGGGACAGAUCCUUCCCCCUUAGGAGGUGUCACCCAUUUCACAUCCCUGUCUCUGGAACUAGGACCUUGCCAGAACCUCAUCAUGAUGUGAUUGUGAGUCAGAGUCCUAGUGAGAGUGAGGAAGUGGACUUAAAGUAACACUAUGGAGUUUCUGGAGCCGCCAGGCGUGGAGCCAUUGGAAACAUCAGUGGAAGCUUGCCAGGCAUGGAGGAGAGUCCAGCCCAUGGGGUCAGAUGAGGAAGAGGGCAAAGGUGGAAAAAAAGAGGAGAAGACGGAAACAGAGCAAGAAGACACACAAGAGAGGACAUCGCUACAACAGCCGCUAGGACCAUAUCCUCAGAAACAAAUCAUGUCUAACUACAGUAUUGUUACUGUUGUUAAGCCCCGUCCUGUCUCUUAGUUCGUUUUCCUUGUGUUGUCAUGUGUUCUUCGGUUUUGUGUUUGUUUACCUUUAUCUCCUCUUGUCUGACUCCUCCCGCCCUGCCCCGCCUAUUGUAUAUAGUCCGUGUAUUCUUGUUUCUCGUUGCGUUCACGUCAUUGUAUGUUCAUUUUAUGUUCAUUUUAUGUUUCUAGCGAUCAUUGUGAGCAUUGUUAUUUCCUCGAGUUUCCUGGUGUUUCCAGCGAUCAGCAUUUACUGUGUUACCAACAUCAGCCUGUUCUACGGAUUACCCUUUUGCCUCUGCCCUUUUGGAUUUAUCUACCUGUGAAUUGUCUUCCUCUGCCUGAUUGUUUGCUUGGAUAUUGGACUGAUUACCUGUCACAUCUGUGCUGACAUCCGCUCCGGCCACGCCCCCUUUAGCACACUCUCACUUGCACACCCUCUGCUGCACCUCAUUCAAAUCAUUACGGCGCACUCACACGUAUGCGUUAGAAUGCGUUGAUCCGUCAAGGUUGACGGAUCCCUAUUCACUUUGAAUGGGGUGACGUCAUCCUUUGCCGAACUGAAUUGUGGCUCCGUUGGGUUCCGUUGCGUUGCGGUUCUCUCGAAAAGUUGAAAAAUUUUCAACUUUUGCUGCAAGCAACGCAUGCGUCAGCCAUUCAAAUUGCCUUUCAUGCAUAACUGACAGCACAGGUGCUAGCCAAUCAGAUCGCGUUUAUGCUUACGUCUAGAGCGAGACGCUCAAAAAAAAAGAUGGUGGACCAAACUGACUUUUUUUUGCUUAGAUUUUUUUUUAAAGUUACAGAGAAAUA